AACGAACGCUGGCGGCAUGCCUAACACAUGCAAGUCGAACGAGAUCUUCGGGUCUAGUGGCGCACGGGUGCGUAACGCGUGGGAAUCUGCCCUUUGGUUCGGAAUGACAGUUGGAAACGACUGCUAAUACCGGAUGAUGACGAAAGUCCAAAGAUUUAUCGCCAGAGGAUGAGCCCGCGUAGGAUUAGCUAGUUGGUGUGGUAAAGGCGCACCAAGGCGACGAUCCUUAGCUGGUCUGAGAGGAUGAUCAGCCACACUGGGACUGAGACACGGCCCAGACUCCUACGGGAGGCAGCAGUGGGGAAUAUUGGACAAUGGGCGAAAGCCUGAUCCAGCAAUGCCGCGUGAGUGAUGAAGGCCUUAGGGUUGUAAAGCUCUUUUACCCGGGAUGAUAAUGACAGUACCGGGAGAAUAAGCUCCGGCUAACUCUGUGCCAGCAGCCGCCGUAA
rnacentral:rRNA from 1 species